rnacentral:rRNA from 1 species
CCUACGGGAGGCAGCAGUAGGGAAUAUUGCUCAAUGGGCGAAACCCUGAAGCAGCAACGCCGCGUGAAGGAUGAAGGUUUUCGGAUUGUAAACUUCUUUUUUUAGAGAAGAUAAUGAUGGCAUUUAACGAAUAAUCACCGGCUAACGCCGUGCCAGCAGCCGCGGUAAUACGGAGGGUGCAGGCGUUAUCCGGAGUCACUGGGCGUAAUGAGCGCGUAGGCGGGGUAGCAAGUCAGAUGUGAAAUCCUAGGGCUUAACCAUAGAACUGCAUUUGAAACUGUUAUUCUAGAGUAUGGGAGAGGUAGGUGGAAUUCUUGGUGUAGGGGUAAAAUGCGUAGAGAUCAAGAGGAAUACUCAUUGCGAAGGCGACCUGCUAGAACAUAACUGACGCUGAUGCGCGAAAGCGUGGGGAGCAAACAGGAUUAGAUACCCUAGUAGUC